rnacentral:rRNA from 1 species
UACGUAGGUGACAAGCGUUAUCCGGAUUUACUGGGCGUAAAGGGAGCGUAGGCGGAUAAUUAAGUGGGAUGUGAAAUACCCGGGCUCAACCUGGGUGCUGCAUUCCAAACUGAUUAUCUAGAGUGCAGGAGAGGAGAGUGGAAUUCCUAGUGUAGCGGUGAAAUGCGUAGAGAUUAGGAAGAACACCAGUGGCGAAGGCGACUCUCUGGACUGUAACUGACGCUGAGGCACGAAGGCUAGGGGAGCAAACGGG